AAUACGAUAAUGACAAAUCAGAUUUUUUCUCCUGAUUUUCAACUUUUUCCUCCUGAAAAAAUUCAAACCCAACUAAAAAUGCUAAAAACCAGGACGAAAAAUCUGAUUUGCCAUUAUCCUAAU
rfam:Gossypium hirsutum cultivar TM-1 chromosome 16, whole genome shotgun sequence